CAUGAAACAGGCCCCUGUACUUUUCAAAAGGAUUGGCCAUUCAUUAAAUUCUGCCAAUAACUUGGCUAUGAAAGUUCUUGGAGCCUCUCCUUCUGCAUAUUCUGCUAAUCCAAAAUCCAAGUUGUCAAAUCCUCCAUCCCUUACCGGAUCUGCUAUAUCAUUGGUUUCAGUUGUGCAAGCUAGAAAUAAUGCACGGAUUAUGAUCGCUGGCUCUUUAGAUAUGUUCAGUAAUGGGUUUGUAUCGUUGUGCACUUAAUCUGAACUUUGGAAGUUUCUCAGGAUAUUUGAUCUCAUUAUUUAACGUUUGUCCUUUAUGUGAUUCAGAUUGUUCAAAUCAGGUGUGCAGAAGGCUGGGAGCUCAAAUAAGUGAGUAAUCCUCUGGUCAAUCUUCAUUCAGUACUUCUACAUGCCAGCUUAUUAUCCAACUUGUUCUCUGACUUACAAUCUAAUGGUCCACAUUUGUCUGUGUACAUCCAAAACAUGCAUAAAAAUGAAUAGAUGAGACAAAAGUUAAAUGCAUUAAAGAAGCGUUGAACAGUACCACUCAUGAAUGUGCUUGUGUCUGUGUGCAAGAGAGAGAGAGAGAGAUAGAGAGAUAGAUCAGAUGUGGUGCCCUGUACCGCCAUAGUUUUUGAACACUUAAAAGUGGAUUUUCCAUUACAAAUUCAUCUGUACUUGGUGAUCUUUCCUUUGUAUUCUUCUACUGUAGUAUUGUUCCUUUUGGUUGGUCAAUUGCCAUACAUCUAGAGUGGGCCAUUCAUCCUGUAUUUUAAUUGGUAUUUGAAUAACUUAAAAAGUAGAAGAAACUUAUCUUAAGUGGUGGUUCCA